GCAGAGAAUAGUAAUGAUUCCGUUCAUGGCGCAACGCCAUAUAAUCCCUUUCCUAGCUUUAGCCCUUCAACUUCAGCAGAGAAAAGAUUAUACGGUAACCUUUGUUUACACGCCUCUCAAUAUUCAGGAGCUAAGAUCAUCUUUGCCUCAGGACUCUUCAAUUCACCUCCUUGAAAUCCCCUUCAAUAGCUCUGAUUAUGGCCUUCCUCCCAAUCCCGAAAAUACCGACUCUCUUCCCUAUGAUCUCAUCGCAACUUUUCUUCAAUCUUCUCUAGCUCUCAAACCCGUUUUCAGGAAAUUAAUUUCUGAUAUUGUCCACGAA
rnacentral:misc_RNA from 1 species